UCUAGGAUUGUUUGUAUUUAUAUCCCGUUACCCAGUGUAAUUUUUUUUGUGUGAUGGCAAGGUUGUUGAAUUUGUUUAACAGUAUACUGGAAACCAACACACAACCCAAAAAAGGAAGAAUGGUUGGGAAAAACUAUUUAUGUGCAGAUUGGAAGCAAGAGCUAGUUACGUUUUCAGAGUUCCUUGAGCGGAAAAGGUCGCAUGGCUGUUCUCCUGGUGGUCCUAGAUAUCUUGCUCAGCAUCCAUUAUUUGACCAGAUAAAUGAGCUUCGGAAAGAUAUCUUUAUUCGCGACUAUUGUUUUGCU